GAUGAACGCUGGCGGCGUGCCUAAUACAUGCAAGUCGAGCGAACAGACGAGGAGCUUGCUCCUCUGACGUUAGCGGCGGACGGGUGAGUAACACGUGGAUAACCUACCUAUAAGACUGGGAUAACUUCGGGAAACCGGAGCUAACACCGGAUAAUAUAUUGAACCGCAUGGUUCAAUAGUGAAAGACGGUUUUGCUGUCACUUAUAGAUGGAUCCGCGCCGCAUUAGCUAGUUGGUAAGGUAACGGCUUACCAAGGCAACGAUGCGUAGCCGACCUGGGAGGGUGAUCGGCCACACUGGAACUGAGACACGGUCCAGACUCCUACGGGAGGCAGCAGUAGGGAAUCUUCCGCAAUGGGCGAAAGCCUGACGGAGCAACGCCGCGUGAGUGAUGAAGGUCUUCGGAUCGUAAAACUCUGUUAUUAGGGAAGAACAAAUGUGUAAGUAACUAUGCACGUCUUGACGGUACCUAAUCAGAAAGCCACGGCUAACUACGUG
rnacentral:rRNA from 1 species